GACGAACGCUGGCGGCGUGCUUAACACAUGCAAGUCGAACGAAGUGGCGAACGGGUGAGUAACGCGUAAUCAACCUGCCCUUCAGAGGGGGCCAACAGUUGGAAACGACUGCUAAUACCGCAUACUGAAGGAGGGGAUUGCGUCUGAUUAGCUAGUUGGAGGGGGAACGGCCCACCAAGGCGAUGAGCAGUAGCCGGGCUUGGAGGAUGAACGGCCAACUUGGGACUGGGAAACGGCCCAGACUCCUCCGGGAUGCAGCAGUGGGGAAGCUUCCGCAAUGGACGAAAGUCUGACGGAGCAACGCGGCGGGAGUGAUGACGGCCUUCGGGUUGUAAAGCUCUGUUAAUCGGGACGCGGUACCGGAAUAGAAAGCCACGGCUAACUACGUGCCAGCAGCCGCGGUAAUUC
rnacentral:rRNA from 1 species